GUUUUGGCCAUUGCAUUUGGUACUGAUCGAACGGCUGAGAGAGGGGUUUAAAAUGGCAUUUCGAGGAACAAGUUUUUUUGUUUUUUUAAAGAAAAGGAAAAAAACAAAAAGGUAUCCUCCAGUUUGAGGCCUGAGCCACGGCCCUUCAGAAAUAUGCGAAGCAUCCUUCUGCUUUUUCCUACUGUUUGUUGCGAAAAUUUCGUUCUAGCUUCAGCUUUCAAGUCUGGGAAUCUAAACUGUGGAGAGAACGUGAGUAAUGAAGAAUUUUGUGAAGAUGUGAAGCAGAUCUCUAUCUCUCUUCCCCCCCCCCCCCAAAAAAAAAAGGAGAAGAAAUUAUAUGUUUUAGCUUUGCACAUAUAUUCAACCAGUUUUGUGAUCGGUAAACAAAUUUUUAUUGAUCAAAAGAGAAGGAAAUGCCCAGUAUACGGGACAUAUAUUCAGCCAACUUUACUCAUCAAAAGAUUUAUUCAGUCAGGUUUGUUGGUGUUAAAAAGUCAUUUUGCAUCUCAUCAAUCCUUCGAUGAAAUAUUGAAAUAUAGAAAGGGAUAAUCUCUUUAACUAUCCCGGCACUAAAUCAUAUGUCACCAUUAAACUUUCUUAUUAACAGAAUUCUAGAUUUCCGAUUUUACGUUGCUUUCAGAUUAUGCCAUGUGGAAGUGAGUUGUAAUUUCUCUGUGCUGGGCUG